ACACCGCCGGGACACCGCCGGGACACCGCCGGGACACCGCCGGGAGCGGGCGGGGCGGGGCUGGUGUUCCGCGGGACCGGGGCGGUGGGAAAGGUCAGCGGUCAAAAAAGGCAAACUACGUACUAGACUAAGGGGAUGUUUGAUCACAGAAUCACGGGACCGUUUGGGCUGGGAGGGACCUUAAAGAUCACCUAGCUACAAUCCUCCUUGCCACCCCCAUCCAGCCUGGCUUUGAACAACUUCCAGGGAUGGGGUCCACAGUUUCUCUGGACAGCCUGUUCCAGUGCCUCAGCAUCCCCACAGUGAAGAAUCUCUUCCUACUAUCUAAUCUAAACCUACUCUCUGUCAGUUUUAAGGCGUUCCCCUACCACUACGUGCCGUUGUAGAAAGUCCCUGUGCAGCUCUCAUGCAGAUCCCUUUUACACACUGGAAGAAUGCUGCAAAGUCUCCCUUCAGGAAUCUUCUCUUCUCCAGGCUGAUCAGCCCCAUCCCUCCCAGCCUGUCUUCAUAGGAGAGGUACUCCAACCCCCUGAUCAUCCUCAUGGCCUCCUCUGAACUUACUCCAACAGGUCCACAUCCUUUUUGCACCAGGGCCCCCAGAUGCUCCAGGGAUGCAGUAGUCUGGAGCAGGGAGAGGGUCUCACCAGAGCAGAGUAGAGAGCCGAAUCCCCUCCCUUGCCCUGCUGCCUACGCUGGUUUUGAUGCAGCCCAGGACACCGCUGGCUUUCUGGAUUGCAAGUGCACAUUAUCAGGUCAUGCUGAACCUCUAGUCAAACAAAACCCUGAAGUCUCCUUGGGAAGAGGUUUUGUCCUUUUGGGAAGACAAAGGAGGGAAACUGGCAGUUGGCAAUGCUUUAUGCAGACUUCCUUUUUCAGCACCUUGUUAAGAACAAUCCCAGUUCUUCCCCAAAUGUUCUGUUAUUAUUGAACCCAGAAGACUAGAAAUGAAGCCUCAGACUAGCAAGAAUUCCUCCUCUUCCUCCUCCUCUUUCUCCUCCUUCUCCUGCAAAAAGACCUUAAAAAUUAUCAGCAGGCCUCUAAAAAACAGUAUGUUUCUCAGUUUAGUCUGUUCUUUGUUCCCAGGGCAAAUGUUACUUCUACCUCUAAAACUCUGUCUGAGGAAGCUCUUAAACAUCUUGUUUUGUUCUAACAAGACAGGAGAUAACCUUUCUUUGCCACCUCCCAAUCUCCACAACUCUCCAAGAUGUGGUAGAGAGUGGGGCAAUACACCAACACAGAGCCUUUUAAUACUGAUGGUUGAAAGUCCUGCUUUCAUUCCCAUCUCACUUGUCAGCUGAGGAUUGAGGGGAGGAAGGCCCUGAGGCUGCAGUUCCUGAAACACACACACCUGAGUGGGAGUCGAGUGGGUUUCCUCUACUGACAACACGUCAGCCAAGAGAGGGAGCAGCAGAAUGAAAUGAGAUACAAAGCAGGAGCUCGAGAGAGAAAGAGGAUGUAUCAUCGACGCAAGGCCAGGAGAUUUCAAAGCAAGUUGCCAAAGCUGUUAAGCCUGCCAUCAUGAAGAAUGCAGGUCCCUGGUGGACUGUUGGCUGCAGAAGAGCAAUGACUCAUGCUUUGCUAUUUUGCAGCAAAAAGUCUUAAACUUGCACACUUCUAGAAGUCAGACACUGCAUUCGCUGCUUUAAACUUAACUUAAACUUCAGUUUAUUAUGACUGAAGUUGGCUAAAAGGAUGAUGCUGUUAGCCUGGCAAGCUGGUUAUCAGAGCCAUAAUUGAUAAGCAAAUAUUCAAUGAAAUGCCAUCUCUAGAGAGGUUUGUGAACUGAAAGUACUAUGAACUUUUAUGCCACACUGCUUGUUGGGAAGAGUGCUUAGUAGAGUCAAAUAAUUUUUUUCUACAUAAAAAGGUAGCAAAACCUCUCUUGUCUCCCAAAGUAAAAGUUUCAGGAAUAACUAUUGGUUUCUUCUUUUCCUGCUCUCCUUGCACCAAAAAAACAAAUGCAGUAGACCUGUAGCAUGGUUGAAGUAUGUAGCACAUAUUUAUUUGUUCAUUUCUUACUAAAGCGGAAAUGAAAACUGAAAAAAGGUGCAAAUAGUGACCUUUAUGCAAUACAAGGGGAAAAGAAAAAGCACAUAGUAAAAAACCACACAACAAACCAAUCAGAUUAUCCUGUCCCACUCACUUUCAUAUCGAUGAAGGAUUUAGAUGUGUUUGUGGUAAGCUGGGUGUAACAGAAGUACAGAAUACGACUGCUGACGUAUCAGGCCUUAUGAAGCCCAUGUAUUUUAUGUGUACAAGUGCUGAAGUGACUAUAGUACAUAAGUUGGAUUUUAGCAGAUGUAGGACUGCAUUCUCACUGCUGCCAGCAUUUUAUUCCUUCUGUUAAUGUAUUGGUGUGAAACAGUAUAAAGAGUAUUUGAAGAGAAAGUCACCUCCACUCUGCUUACUGGAGCUCUAAGAAGUGUGCCUAGGCUGCAUGUGACAGAACUUAAAAUCUCCAUAAUGGCAGUAUUGCAGGGCACAUGGAAGCUUUGACAAACACAAAAUCUCUUCAUAAUUAAUUUGCUUUUAAUUUAAAGAAUACUAUAAUGCGAAAAAAUGUUUACUUUUUAAUUCAAGGGAGAUAGCAAUGGCAUCAGGUAAAACUCCCUCAAUCCUGUACCUGAAAGACAAUGAGCAUAGUUGGGCAGCACAGUCUAUCAUGUAUUAAUUCCCAGAUUUCAAGGAUGAAAGCUUUCAACAGACUGAGGCCAGGAAGUUAAAGCUUAGAAGCUGAUCACUGUUCUCCAUUUUUCACAUGCAGGAUCAAGUUUUCCUUAUAUGGCAUUGCUGUCAUCAUCCUUGAAUUAAAAGAGUCAUGGCCUCAUAAGCUGUGGGAAAACAAAGACUGACUUUUUUCCAGCAAAAGAGAAGUUGACCAAAGGACUAGGCAACUUUUGGCAAACUCCAUCUUGAAAUCAUGUUAAAGCAGUGUCCUGUAAGUGAAGGGAAUGGAUUGUAUCUGUCACAUGGCACAGGAAAUGAGGGGGGACUCCAAUGUGGAAGUUAUUGCCAUGUAAGAAGACAGGUAGGUAGGUACCUAGUGAUUAAACAGUCUCUCUUUCUUCUGAAAUACUUUUCUUCUAAUUCUUUGCCCUUUGUGGAGCAGUAAACAAUGCCCUGGUGGGACACAAGCCAAACCAGUGUUGAAAGUGACAGCUGGCACACAGGGGACUAAGGAAAACCCCUGUUUUGAGCCCAGUGACCCCCAGACUUCCAGAGAGAAAACAGCACAAGAAUCAGGAGUGCACUGAGCCUACCUGCUUUAGCAGCAGCUUGUAUCCUCAGAGUUACUGGUUCAGAAAACUGACCACAAUAUUUCCAUUUAAAUUUAUUAUGGAAUAAAUUAUGCAGUCAUAUUUAGGGUCUGUUUUGAUUGCUUUUCAAUGUUUCAUGGGAAACAGCUCCCCCUGCUCCCAAAGUUCCCACAAAACAGGGGAAGUUGGUUGAUGUUCAAAAUGCUUUUCGGUCAGAAGGAAAAAAACACAGAAAAGAAAUUGCUCACAUCCCUCAUUCCUGAUCAGAGCAGAAAUGAUAAAGUUUACUCCUCUCAAAAAGCACGUGGAUCUGCCCUGCAGUCAGAGCUGCAGCUUCUCUUCCAUUGCUCUGCUUGCAGAACUGAUUAAUAAAUAUUCUGCUGGGCGUUUUUAACACCCUUCCUGUUUGCACUGCUGUAAACCAUACUCAGAGUUUCAACAAACACUUUCACUAUAGAAACACAGUUUGACUCCACCCUUCUGCCAGUGAGAGUUCACUGAUGACCUGCUCAGCUAGGCUUACUAGAUGUUCAUUGCAGAUCAGGCUGAAUCUCACUCUAAUGAGUUGCAGUUAUGAUGGACAAUCUUCCUCACAUGAAAACUUAGUGCAACAAUCCUUGAACUAGCAUCCAAUUAUAGUUUUGCCCAAGACUAGGACCAGAACCAGCACAGUAAUUUGAUUUCAUUUACAUGAGAUACAAGCCUGCAAUGUGGCCACACUGACUGUGCCUCAAGCUUCCUCACAGGGUCAGAGGUGUGACCAUGUGGGGUCCGUCCAUAUGUAGGACUAACAGUGUAAAUUAUGUUCCCCUUACUAUCAAGGGGCCACGGCAUGUAAACA